UUUAAUUCUUGGGUUUCUGUGUUCAAUGUUUGAUUGUCUGUCUUAUAUGAAAUUUUUUUAUGAUUAGUAUUUUCAUUAUUGUUAGAUGAUAAAACAUGAAUAAUACUUUAUGCAUGACUUAUCUUUUAAAUUUUUUUUAAAAUUUUUUUAAAUAAGACAAACGGUUAAAGGUUAGACAUGAAAACCCAGAAAUUAAG
rfam:Oryza nivara chromosome 4, whole genome shotgun sequence.